UAUAUAAUGUACAUGUAGAAACAUUUAAUUAUAUUUACAAUUAAUUGUAGUUAAUUAAUUAUUACCACUAUAUAUAAUAUAUAAAUUUAUAUAAAUAGUUUUAUUCUUGUAUUAAGUUUAAGGUUACAAUAAAGCAUUAUAUUUAUUUAUUACAUGUUUAUUAUUUUGCGUUAAAUAUAGUUUUCCACUUAAUAAAAAUAUUUUGUCUUAAUUAAUAUUUUACAUUAAUAAUAUGUUUGAUAUGUAAUGUAAUAUUUCAUCUAUUUGAUGUGAAGUAUAUAAAGAAACUAUUAUGGAAAAUUUAGCAAUGUAUUACAGAAAAAAAUUAUAUUUGGUAUAUACCAACUAAGCUCUUUGAUAAAUCAAAUUUGGAAACGAAGUUAAUUGAAAUAUCUUACUAGCUUCAGGAAAAUAAAUCAAAUGAGAUUUUCUUUUUAAUUAAAUAUUAAUAAGAAAACAGCCUUUAAAGUAAAAUGGAUAGACUCUGUUUGAAUAUAGGGAAACCUUUCUCUAAGGCUAAAUAUGAUACAUUAGCGACAGUGAAUAGUACCGUAAGGGAAAUAUUUGAAAUAGUAGGUUUAUAAGCAGCUCAAAUUUAAACUAAUAAACAAACGAGAGCGUACCUUUUGCAUAAUGGGUCAGCAAGUUAAUAUUAGGUGCGAGAUUAAGUUAAUGCUUAAUCCUAGACAAACCAAUUAUUAAAUAAUGAAUUAGUACCUAGUAUUAGACCCGAAGCCUAGUGAUCUUACCAUGAUCAGGGUUAUAAAAGCUCGAACAGGUUAUCGUUGUAAAGAUAUCUGAUGAAUUGUGGUAAGUUAGUGAAAGACAAAACUGACUAGGAUAGCUGGUUUUCUGCGAAACCUAUAUAAGUAGGUAGUUUAAAUAAUAUCAUUACAGGUACAGAAUUGUGAUCUCAGAUAAAUUAUAACCUAUAUAUUAAAAGUAUAUGGUUAGUUUAUAUACAUUGGGGAAUCGUGAAGAUUUUAUCAGUGAGAAUUUGCUCUCGGAAGGGUAAUGAUAGAUAUUAAAUUGUCAGACAUAGUACGAUAAGGUUGUAUGUCUAAAGGGAAACAGCCCAGAACAAGAGUUAAGGUUCCAAAAUUAUUGUUAAGUGAAAUUAAGGGAGUUUUUUUCAAAUACAACCAGGAAAUAGGCUUAGAAGCGGCCAUUUUUUAAAGAUCUCGUAACAGAGCACUGGUUUAUAAAUGUAAGAGUAAAGAAUACAAAGUUUAUAAAGAUACCAGGUAUGGUGAGCAAUUGUAGAAAAACAAUCGCAACUCCAAUUUACAAAUGUGACGUUCACAGGACACAGGAUGGAGAUAAAUAAACUAUAAAGUUAAACGCACCGAAAAUUUAACGGAUCUAAACAAUAUACCGAAACCUUGUGCACAAAUAAAACUUGUGGUAAAAAAUUAUCAAGUUUAUAUCUGUGAGGUAGCAGAACGUUGAGUUGUUUAAGAUUUAGUAUCAUUGAUACUAAUACCUGUCUUACCCAAAUAUUAGAGUAAAAUGACUAAUAAUUAUUUUACCCAAACAUUAGAGUAAAAUGAAAACAAUCUCAAGUGAGAAUGCUGACAUGAGUAACGAAAAAGGGAAUAUCCCCUCGCCUUAAGCUUAUGGUAUUAUAUUUAAUUGCGGCCCCUAAGUUUAUUAAUCUUACCUAAAGGAUUGAAUGAUGGGAAAAUAAUUGUUUAUUUUAAUUUUAUAUUACAACCUUUUAGGUUCUGGAAAAACAUAUAUUAUACAAAACCGUACCUAGAAACUACCUCAAGUAAGCAAGUAGAGUAUACAAAGGCGUUUGAGAUAACAAUCAUUAAGGAACUCGGCAAAUUGACACCGUAACUUAGGGAUAAGGUGUGCCAUUAUAUUAUGACAAAAUAGAAAUAUAUGAAUUUGCCAUACAUAUAAUAGGAGACAUAGAAUGGUGUUGUACGACUGUUUAAUUAAAACAAAGCACUUUGCAUAAGAUAUAAAUCAAAGUAUUGAGUGUGAUUUCUGCCCGAUGUUGGCUGGUUAACGGACUUUCUUAACAUAAAUUAUAUGUUAGGUUUUGAAGGAAACCCCAAUCAAUGGCGGCCUUACCGAUGAGGGUCCUAAGGUAGCGGAAUACCCUGGCCGUUAAAUGCGGUCUUGCAUGAAUGAUUUAACGAUACAACAGCUGUCUCGAUGAUUGUCUCAGUGAAAUUGGAAUAACUGUGCAGAUACAGUUUUCUUCUAGUUAGACGAGAAGACCCUAUGCAGCUUUACUAUUUGUAGUUAUUGAAUAUGAUAUAACAAGUUGUAGAGUAUAAGGUAAUUGAUAAUUUAACAUUGAAACACCUUUACUUAGUGUAUCAUAUUAUUAGGAAAAAGAUCUAAAAAAACUUGAUUUUUUGGCCUAGUAGCUUAACUUUAAGAAAUAGCAUGUAUAUGUUUAUAUACAUAAGUGACACUGACUAUUAGAUAGUUUAUGCGGGGCACAGAUCCCAUAAAAAGUACCUGGGUGUAUCCAAAGUUAAUAUUGUAAAUUUAUUUUUUAUGAUUUAGUUUUUUUGUUGCUUUGUCUUAUAUUAAUACAAAUGCUAACAAUAAAAUUAUACAUUUUAAUUUGUAAUAGAUUAUAAUUUAAUCUAUUCAACUAUAAUUCUAUUAAGUUAGAUUAAUUAUAUUUUUUAAGUAAGGUUUUUACUAUAUGGAAAAUAGAUGUUAGAUAGUUAUUAUUAAAUAAAAUGACUAAAUUUGUUUCAGAGUGUAACUAUAAUCGUAAAAAUUAAACUUCCCAGCUGCUAGCUCGGUAUUAAUAUUACAAAUUCCAUUGGUUCAUUUCGCUCUAUUGAUUGCUUAUAAUAGUAUAAGUAUUAGUUACACCCUGGAAUGAAUAUUUAUAUAACUAAAAAAGUUUAAUGGCUUAACCUUGCUUUACUGUUUGACUUACAUGUCUAUCAGUCGCGUAAGCGGGGCAUACGAUCACAAGAUGCAGAAAGGAAAGGUCUUGGAUUUUUGAAAAAGCUACGCUAGGGAUAACAGGCUAAUUGCGCAAGAGAGUACAAAU
rnacentral:rRNA from 1 species